AGUGAACGCUGGCGGUAGGCCUAACACAUGCAAGUCGGACGGCAGCACAGUAAGAGCUUGCUCUUACGGGUGGCGAGUGGCGGACGGGUGAGGAAUACAUCGGAAUCUACUUUUUCGUGGGGGAUAACGUAGGGAAACUUACGCUAAUACCGCAUACGACCUACGGGUGAAAGCAGGGGAUCUUCGGACCUUGCGCGAUUGAAUGAGCCGAUGUCGGAUUAGCUAGUUGGCGGGGUAAAGGCCCACCAAGGCGACGAUCCGUAGCUGGUCUGAGAGGAUGAUCAGCCACACAGGAACUGAGACACGGUCCAGACACCUACGGGAGGCAGCAGUGGGGAAUAUUGGACAAUGGGCGCAAGCCUGAUCCAGCCAUACCGCGUGGGUGAAGAAGGCCUUCGGGUUGUAAAGCCCUUUUGUUGGGAAAGAAAAGCAGCAGGUUAAUACCCCGCUGUUCUGACGGUACCCAAAGAAUAAGCACCGGCUAACUUCGU
rnacentral:rRNA from 1 species